UACGUAGGGUGCAAGCGUUGUCCGGAUUUAUUGGGCGUAAAGAGCUCGUAGGCGGCUUGGCAAGUCGGGUGUGAAAACUUCAGGCUCAACCUGGAGAUGCCACCCGAUACUGCUAUGGCUUGAGUCCGGUAGGGGACCACGGAAUUCCUGGUGUAGCGGUGAAAUGCGCAGAGUAUCAGGAGGAACACCGGUGGCGAAGGCGGUGGUCGUGGGCCGGCACUGACGCUGAGGAGCGAAAGCGUGGGUAGCAAACAGG
rnacentral:rRNA from 1 species